UAACCUUGGUACAAAUUGUUUGAUUUCGUCCACAAAUAUCUAAAUGCAGAAUCGGAAUAGGUUUUGAUUUCCGGUAUUUCAAGUUUGGAAGGACACUAUUAUGCGCCACCUUUGUCUUAUCUAGGCUCGAACAGUUACAGAAAGAUUAGAUUCUGCUGUGGACUUUUGCAAUGAUUUCGCUGUCAACCACUGCUCUGAGAGCAGCCAGAAGUUUCUUCUCUCCAAUACUACAAACCAACACCAUCAGCAGGUGCCUCUGUACAACUUACCAGAGAUGUCCCUUCAUCAGUUCAAAUCAAACAAUAUUUAGACCCACACAACAGUUCCUCGUGCCUUCUACGAUCACAGUAGAACAAACACGAGCAUAUCAGCCGAGGGGCGUUCCUAAGUUAAGAUGCAGACAUUGUUAUUUCGUUAGCAGACAUGGUCAAACAUUUGUGGAAUGUACCAGUAAGAAGAGACAUCGGCAGUUUCAAAUUAUUGGGAAAAGUCGUCGAUUUAAGGAUGAUUUAACGAAAGGAAGGUUCAAAGAAUUUGUUUAUAAUGAUUACAAACACAGAAGAUUUUAUCGAUUUGGAGAAUCUAUGUGGUCAAAAGAGGAUUUAAUUGGUGACAGAAUAGGAAAAGACUUGUAGAAAGUUGUGUAUAGCAAAGUUUGAAUUUAUAAUAAAUCAGACCAGGCAGUCUC